UACGUAGGGUGCAAGCGUUGUCCGGAAUUAUUGGGCGUAAAGAGCUCGUAGGUGGCUUGUCACGUCGGGUGUGAAAGCUUGGGGCUUAACUCCAGGUCUGCAUUCGAUACGGGCUGGCUAGAGGUAGGUAGGGGAGAACGGAAUUCCUGGUGUAGCGGUGAAAUGCGCAGAUAUCAGGAGGAACACCGGUGGCGAAGGCGGUUCUCUGGGCCUUGCCUGACGCUGAGGCGCGAAAGCUAGGGGAGCGAACAGG
rnacentral:rRNA from 1 species